rnacentral:rRNA from 1 species
GGAUGAACGCUAGCGGCAGGCCUAACACAUGCAAGUCGAGGGGCAGCACAAAGAUAGUUUACUAUUUUGGUGGCGACCGGCGCACGGGUGAGUAACGCGUAUGUAACCUACCUUAUACAGGAGUAUAGCCCGAAGAAAUUCGGAUUAAUCCUCCAUAGUAUUUUCUAAUGGCAUCAUUUGGACAGUUAAAGCUCCGACGGUAAAGGAUGGGCAUGCGUCCCAUUAGCUAGAUGGUAAGGUAAUGGCUUACCAUGGCAACGAUGGGUAGGGGGCCUGAGAGGGUGACCCCCCACACUGGUACUGAGACACGGACCAGACUCCUACGGGAGGCAGCAGUGAGGAAUAUUGGUCAAUGGACGAAAGUCUGAACCAGCCAUGCCGCGUGCAGGAAGAAGGCCCUACGGGUUGUAAACUUCUUUUAUUUGGGAAGAAACCCCCCUACGUGUAGGGGGCUGACGGUACCAAACGAAUAAGCACCGGCUAACUCCGUGCCAGCAGCCGCGGUAAUACGGAGGGUGCAAGCGUUAUCCGGAUUUAUUGGGUUUAAAGGGUGCGCAGGCGGGAGAUUAAGUCAGUGGUGAAAUCCUACAGCUCAACUGUAGAACUGCCAUUGAAACUGAUCUUCUUGAAUCUGGCUGAUGUGGGCGGAAUAUGUCAUGUAGCGGUGAAAUGCUUAGAUAUGACAUGGAACACCGAUUGCGAAGGCAGCUCACAAAACCAGUAUUGACGCUCAGGCACGAAAGCGUGGGUAGCGAACAGGAUUAGAUACCCUGGUAGUCCACGCCGUAAACGAUGAUCACUCGACAUUGGCGAUAUACAGUCAGUGUCCAAGCGAAAGUGUUAAGUGAUCCACCUGGGGAGUACGAUCGCAAGGUUGAAACUCAAAGGAAUUGACGGGGGCCCGCACAAGCGGUGGAGCAUGUGGUUUAAUUCGAUGAUACGCGAGGAACCUUACCUGGGCUUAAAUGUAUUUUGACAGGCUGGGAAACCAGUCCUUCUUCGGACAAUUUACAAGGUGCUGCAUGGUUGUCGUCAGCUCGUGCUGUGAGGUGUCGGGUUAAGUCCCAUAACGAGCGCAACCCCUAUCCUUAGUUGCCAGCGAGUAAUGUCGGGGACUCUAAGGAAACUGCCGGUGCAAACCGUGAGGAAGGUGGGGAUGACGUCAAAUCAUCACGGCCCUUACGUCCAGGGCUACACACGUGCUACAAUGGCGCAUACAAAGGGCAGCUACAUGGUGACAUGAUGCUAAUCUCUAAAGUGCGUCUCAGUUCGGAUCGAAGUCUGCAACUCGACUUCGUGAAGCUGGAAUCGCUAGUAAUCGUAUAUCAGCAAUGAUACGGUGAAUACGUUCCCGGGCCUUGUACAC